GAUGAAGAACGUAGUGAAAUGCGAUACGUAAUGUGAAUUGCAGAAUUCAGUGAAUCAUCGAAUCUUUGAACGCACAUUGCGCCCCUUGGUAUUCCGGGGGGCAUGCCUGUUCGAGCGUCAUUAUAACCCCUCAAGCUCAGCUUGGUGUUGGGGCCUGCCGACUGGCAGCCCUUAAAAUCAGUGGCGGCGCCAUCUGGCUCUAAGCGUAGUAAUUUCUCUCGCUAUAGAGUCCCGGUGGAUGCUUGCCAGCAACCCCCAACUUUCUAUGGUUGACCUCGGAUCAGGUAGGGAUACCCGCUGAACUUAAGCAUAUCAAUAAGCGGAGGA
rnacentral:misc_RNA from 1 species